GGAACGGGUAGAAACUUACGAAGUCCUGACGUCGUUGGGCAGCACUUGAGAUAGGCGCUUUGCUUUGGGGGGAGAGAGUGACCGGUGGUGCAUGGUGGUAAUCAGCUCGUCUCGUCAGAGAUUGGGUUAACUGGCGGAACGAGCGGAACCCCUGAUCUUAGUUGCCAGCAUUCAGUUGGGCACUCGAAGCUGACUGACGGUGACAAACCGUAGGAAUGUGGGGAUGACGUCAAAUCAUCAUGCCCUUAUGACCUGGACUACACACUUGCCACAAUCGAUGGUACACCCCCUGCAAACCACGAAGGUAGCUUCCUGCCAUCCCCCAUUCUCAGUUCGGAUAGUAGGCCGCAACUCGUCUCCAUGAAGCCGGAAUAGCUAGUAAUCGAGGACCAGCAUGCACCGAAGCACGUUCCCGGGCUAGGUACACGGCGCCCG
rnacentral:rRNA from 1 species